AUUUUUAGGAAUGGCAAAUUCUAUCCUGUCAGGAAGUUUCGUGAUAUUCCAAACUAACGACAGAAAGUUAUUUGUACGUGGCCGAAUUUGCUGUCUUUUGUGCCAACCGUGAAGAUAAGGAAAAUAAAGAUAAGGAGAAUAAGAUAAAGACAAGAAGAUAAGGAUAAGGAUCAGGAAGAUAAGAAGAUAAAGAUUAGAAGAUAAGGAUAAUAAGAUAAAGAUAAAAGAUAAGAAGAUAAGGAUCAGGAAGAUAAGAAGAUAAUGAUAAGAAGAUAAGAAGAUAAGAAGACAAAGAUAAAGAAGGUAAGGAUAAGGAAAAUAAAGUUAAUGAAGAGGAAGAACCAUUUAUAUUUUUUACGGCGACAUGUGGGUGUGAUGUAGGGCCGAUGUAGGGUCGAUGUGGGGUCGAUGUGAUGUCUAGGUAGGAUCGAUGUAGGGUCGAUGUGGGGUCGAUGUGAGGUCGAUGUAGGGUCGAUGUAGGGUUGAUGUAGGGUCGACGUAGGGCUAGGAGUAUAGAAACCAUGGCGAAUGAACACUUAAGCCAAACGACUCUUAUUACAAAAAAACAUUUAAAUUGUUGUGCGUAAUUUAAAUAAAAUCAAACAUAUUAUGCUCUAAGAAGUAGACCACAUUAACUUUGUAAACGUCUCGAAGAAAUAAAUGUAUUUU